rnacentral:rRNA from 1 species
GGGUUGUGAGGUUAAGCGACUAAGCGUACACGGUGGAUGCCCUGGCAGUCAGAGGCGAUGAAGGACGUGCUAAUCUGCGAUAAGCGUCGGUAAGGUGAUAUGAACCGUUAUAACCGGCGAUUUCCGAAUGGGGAAACCCAGUGUGUUUCGUCACACUAUCAUUAACUGAAUCCAUAGGUUAAUGAGGCGAACCGGGGGAACUGAAACAUCUAAGUACCCCGAGGAAAAGAAAUCAACCGAGAUUCCCCCAGUAGCGGCGAGCGAACGGGGAGCAGCCCAGAGCCUGAAUCAGUGUGUGUGUUAGUGGAAGCGUCUGGAAAGGCGCGCGAUACAGGGUGACAGCCCCGUACACAAAAAUGCAUAUACUGUGAGCUCGAUGAGUAGGGCGGGACACGUGGUAUCCUGUCUGAAUAUGGGGGGACCAUCCUCCAAGGCUAAAUACUCCUGACUGACCGAUAGUGAACCAGUACCGUGAGGGAAAGGCGAAAAGAACCCCGGCGAGGGGAGUGAAAAAGAACCUGAAACCGUGUACGUACAAGCAGUGGGAGCCUCUUUAUGGGGUGACUGCGUACCUUUUGUAUAAUGGGUCAGCGACUUAUAUUCUGUAGCAAGGUUAACCGAAUAGGGGAGCCGAAGGGAAACCGAGUCUUAACUGGGCGUUAAGUUGCAGGGUAUAGAC